UCUACAGUCGGGACCAAACCCUGAACCCAGAACUCGGACCCCUAACCACAGGCUUAACCCCCAGGCCCUUUCGACAGAGGCUGACCUCUCUUAUCUUUGAUAUGUUCUGAGGGGGUGUGUGUGUUGUCAUUGGGGAUGAUGAGAGAGAGAACAUGCUUUUUACUCUUAUUAUAGCUAUGAAGGUUGUGAGGGGUGAUCUCCUUCAACAGAGAUAUGACCGAUAGACAGGUCGUGAGGUGAUCUCCUUAAACAGAGAUAUGACCGAUAGACAGGUCGUGAGGUCAUCUCCGUAAACAGAGAUAUGACCGAUAGACAGGUCGUGAGGUCAUCUCCUUCAACAGAGAUAUGACCGAUAGACAGGUCGUGAGGUCAUCUCCGUAAACAGAGAUAUGACCGAUAGACAGGUAGUGAGGUGAUCUCCU